UUAAAUUGUAUUAGAUUCNNUAAAUUAUUAAUAGUUAUGUUCUUUAAAAUUAAAGAUUUUGGCGGUAUUUUAUUCUUAUCAGAGGAACCUGUCCUAUAAUUGAUAAUCCACGAUAAAUUUAACUUUAUUUCUUAGUUUGUAUAUCAUCGUAGGUUGAAUAUUUUAUUAGAAUAAUAAUGUUCUUAAUAUUAUAAAUAAUGUAAAAUCAGAUCAAGGUGCAGCUUAUAGUAAAGUAGAGAUGGGUUACAAUAAAUUUAUUUAAACGGAUAAUAUUUUGAAAAAGUAUUUAAAGGUGGAUUUGAAUGUAAUUAAUUUAAUUUUAUUUUAAUGAUUUUAGCUCUAAAAUAUGU
rnacentral:rRNA from 1 species